ACACAAAGCAAACGCGUGUGAGGUAUUAUAUAAAUUAUGAUUUUAAUUUUAAUAUACUGAUGGUGUAAAUUCACACUAUCAGUUAACCUAGAAGCCAGGAGGUUACAAGGGAAGUAAGAAUAGUGCAACAACCAUAAUAAGUGAGAUUAAUAAUCUCAAAAAUAUAGGUUUUGGGGAAAACCUCGAGGCCUAACCCCAAUGAAAAAUCUAGUUGACAAAGUUAACCUUAGUACCUUACUCACCAACAGAUCAUAAAUAUUUGUUUCCUGACAUACUCAUUUCUAAAAAGAUAUAAUCGGACACUUUUAGGUCCCACGUUCAUUGUUCAAGAGACGACGGGUAACAACGGCCGAAGUGCACAUAUACUCGAUCUGGAGACCACCAAUUAACCUACUUGGGGAUGACUUCAGACAUGCCUGAACUUAAGGGAGGCCUAACUUCAAACACCACACGAUUGAAGUUGUCCCGAAAUGGAUAGAUGUGCAAAAGUUCAUUGUUCAAGAGACGACGGGUAACAACGGCCGAAGUGCACAUAUACUCGAUCUGGAGACCACCAAUUAACCUACUUGGGGAUGACUUCAGACAUGCCUGAACUUAACGGAGGUAUGGCCGGGUUCAACUAUUUUUACCUUAACUCUAACCAUGGCUAUAUUUAAUCAUUUUUGAACUUCAGUGAGGUUCCACCAUUUUUGCUUAACUUCAAUCAUGGCUAUAUUUAAAGCCCGUUUGUCCACGAGAAUUAUUCACUUUUUUUCGGAAUGUUUUUUCACUUUUUUCACUUUAUGAUGUUUGACCAUAAAAUUUCAAAUUGUAUUUGGAAUUUGGAAAACAGCCAAAACUUGUUUUUCACUUUCAAUACAUUUAAACAACCAAAUAUUCUUUGCAAAAACUAUAACCAAACACAACCCCAUCUUCAACUCCAACUCCAAAAUACCAAAUAAAGUGAAAAAUAUUUGGUUUUCAUGGCCAAACGCCUACUUAAUCAUUUUUGUUUCAAACCUGAACUUCAAACAUUUUUUAGGCCUAACUUCAAACACCACAUGAUUGAAGUUGUCCCGAAAUGGAUAGAUGUGCAAAAGUUUUAAAAAAAAUAGGUACAUGUUAAAUAUCUGUGUCCGUUUCUUUUUAUAAAAUUCAAUUAUCAGAAAAACAAAUCCAUUAGAAAAAGAAACGUACAAAACUGAAGAAAAAGAAGGGUGUUGUUUCUAUUUUGCACGUAAAUGAUCCUACCUGAUCAAAUUCAAGGCAAGGAAUCCAACCCUUUUUGAUCAUGUAAUCAACCUCCUUUGCAAUCGAGUCUGCUGAUAUAGGUGGAAGAUAUGACAGUGUCUCAAACUUCUUAUUGUCGAUCGGAUUCCAAGUCUGUUAUUUACCAACACCCAAGAAUAAGCAAACAAUUAAAAAACAAGAAAGAAAUAUUCGAAGAAAUAAUUUUACUUAAAACUAUAAUUUAGUGCUUACAUAAUGGGAUUACAAUGGUUUUAAUUAAUCUCCAUCAGGUCACUUAACAUAUUUAAGAUUCCACUUCCAAAUCACUUACAUAUUGGGAUCACAAACGAAAACGGGCCAAAUUUACCCUCUACUUUAAAAUAGUAGCCACAUUCGUCCUCCGUUAUAUUAUGUGGCCAAAAUUUACUGUUAACAGAGUUUUCGAAAUCAUUCUCAAACCAAACGGAUUUCCCCAAUUUUCACUUUAUUAACUCAUAAACUCGUAACCCACAACCCAUUUAACUCAUAUAUAAAAAGAGAUGGUGCAGGUUAAAUGCCCAAUUAUGCUGUAUAUUCCCAAAGUAAACAUUUAUAUGUGCAAAACGCUCAAAAUUUUGUUAACACAACUUAUAGCUAAUUUGUGCUCGCUUAAGAUUUUGAAAUAUGCAUAUUUCAGAAAUUUUUAUUCUUUUUAAUAUUACAAACUGCAGGAAUAAUAUUUUUUGAUAGCUCACAGAAAUAUUGAUCCUCAUCUUUAAAUUUGUUAGCGUUUACCAACAGGAAUUUU